UACGGGGGGGGCAAGCGUUGUUCGGAAUCACUGGGCUUAAAGGGCGCGUAGGCGGGCAUCAUAGUCUGUGGUGAAAAUCCGGCAGCUUAACUGUCGAAUUGCCAUGGAUACUGGGUGUCUCGAGGGAGGCAGGGGUGCGCGGAACUGAUGGUGGAGCGGUGAAAUGCGUUGAUAUCAUCAGGAACUCCGGUGGCGAAGGCGGCGCACUGGUCCUUUUCUGACGCUGAGGCGCGAAAGCCAGGGGAGCAAACGGGG
rnacentral:rRNA from 1 species